rnacentral:lncRNA from 1 species
UAGGACCUGGCCCGUUCUCCCCAGCUCCAGAGCAGCAGCAAAGGGAAGCAGCGUCCUCGCCAAUACCUGGGCUGUCCUUCAAGGCUCAGUGCAAGGAAAAACACCUGGGUUGGACAUCAGAUACCUGGGACAUGAGGGAGAUGCAGCCAGGAGGAGAAAGCACAGAGUGAAUUCAGAGGGUCCAGAGUGCUGUCUGUCCCUGUGUCUUCUGCACCCUCUCCCUGGCCCUGUGGCACCAGAUGAGCUCCAAUCCUGCAGAUUAAGCAUCUCCGCCUGACUCUUCUGUGGCCUUUUUGUUCCCCGGGGUCUGCAGAUGGAGGGCACAUAGUACAGCCAGCCUUUAUGGGGGCAGCAAAGAGUUAAAGCAGCUCCCUGAGCGCCAGACAACAGCCUCAUCAGCAGGCCCUGAUUCUGAUUAAACAGCUGUGCGGAGAGAUAAGGAAAUUGAGACUCAAAGAGGACCCCCAUGGAGAAAGUAAUGAAGCUUGAAUUUAGACCCAAGAUCAUGUCCCUUUCACUUCCUCAGCCUGCCCAGGAAGUUUAUAGCGUGCUCAUGCCACAAACCCUGGAGCUGGAUACGCGCUCAAUUGGCUUGAAGACCUUGGGUAGUGCUGACUUCCAGACCACUGAGGUCACCUGCAUAAGCGAGUCUGGCAACAAAUAAUCGUCUUCCAGAAAAUGACCAGAAACUCAGCCUGCUUUUUGUCAUUUCACCAGCCCCACCAUCUUUCCUUUAUUCUAGAGCUCCUGGCACACUUACAUGAAUCUCUUGAAAGAAGAGAAAUGAGAGCAUUCAUUCCAUACUAAUACAAUUGUGCCCUAUGGAAAGGCUUUUUGCUGGCAGACAUAGUAGACGGACCAUUUCCCAACUUCUUUUUCUUUGCCACCUUCCAGCCAAAGGUGUCCAUAUGACACAGCUCUGGACAGGAUAAUUGGAAGUCUGUUGUGGGAUUUCUGAGAAAGCUUUUGAUUUUCUGACAGAGACAUUUUUGCUUCCCCUUACCACUUCCUACUGGAUUACAGAUGUGAUGGAAAGAGCUGCAGCAGCCAUAAUACAACCAUAAAGGAGAGGAGAAGAGAAUUGCAAAGGCAUCAACCCACAUUGAAUUGAACUGCUAAGUUAACACUAGCAGUUACUUGCCUCCAGAUAUCUUGGUGUGUGAGAACAUUAAAUCUGUAUGUGUCUAAAUCAG